CAUGUAGGCGGUCUGUCAAGUCUGAUGUGAAAGCCCGGGGCUCAACCCCGGAAGUGCAUUGGAAACUGGCAGACUUGAGUACGGGAGAGGAAAGUGGAAUUUCGAGUGUAGGGGUGAAAUCCGUAGAUAUUCGAAGGAACACCAGUGGCGAAGGCGGCUUUCUGGACCGAUACUGACGCUGAGAUGCGAAAGCGUGGGGAGCAAACAGGAUUAGAUACCCCUGGUAGUCC
rnacentral:rRNA from 1 species